UACGUAGGCAGCAAGCGUUGUUCGGAGUUACUGGGCGUAAAGGGUGUGUAGGCGGCUCUCUAAGUUUGGUGUGAAAUCUCCCGGCUCAACCGGGAGGGUGCGCCGAAAACUGGGGGGCUAGAGUGCGGGAUGGGAGAGUAGAAUUCCUGGUGUAGCGGUGAAAUGCGUAGAUAUCAGGAGGAAUACCGGUGGUGUAGACGGCUCUCUGGACCGCAACUGACGCUGAGACACGAAAGCGUGGGUAGCAAACAGG
rnacentral:rRNA from 1 species